UACGUAGGUGGCGAGCGUUGUCCGGAAUUACUGGGUGUAAAGGGAGCGUAGGCGGGAGAGCAAGUCGACUGUGAAAUCUAUGGGCUUAACCCAUAGCUGCGAUCGAAACUGUUCAUUUUGAGUGAAGUAGAGGCAGGCGGAAUUCCUAGUGUAGCGGUGAAAUGCGUAAAUAUUAGGAGGAACACCAGUGGCGAAGGCGGCCUGCUGGGCUUUAACUGACGCUGAGGCUCGAAAGCGUGGGUAGCAAACAGG
rnacentral:rRNA from 1 species